GAAAGACAAAGGAACCAUCUUCUUCCUUGAGGUCAACAAUGGAAGGAGACGUAGAAGACACCAAAACAAGAACUUGGCAGGCUCAGGACAUGACAACGGAGGGGCUUGAAAAUACACAGGAAGCUAUCCUCUCAGAGACAUGAAGACUGCAUCCCUAGGCUCUGUGCUUUGCACCCGCUGGGCCUCAGGCCAAGAAUAACCAUAUUCAAGCGUUUCAAUUCUUUCCAUUAUGAACACAACACCUUAGGGCAGGUUUCUAAGGGCCCUGACAACUUGAAUUACUGUCUUUCCCUACUUGCCUGCUUGCGACUGAGCUUACAAGGAAAUGACUUUAAACAAUGUCACACCUCUUUACCCACAGACACAGUUUACAGGACCUCAUUCGCACUCCAAUGACAAUGAAAGGAAGGGGGUGUUGGGCAGAGAAGCAAAGAGCUCCGGUUCUCACCAUCACAUGGUAGCGGGGUGUAAGUUUGUUCCCAACAUACCAGACAGAGAGCAACUCUCACCAGAGAAGAUCCCAAUGUGUUUUAUGCUAGAUCUGACUUUAAUUAAGUGGUAGACAAUGCUCCCAUCAGUGCUGGAACUGGCCCCGGUAACUUGCUUUAGCUGAUGGAAUGUUACCAAACACAACAUGAUCAAAGGCUUGAGAGAUGAUUUCCCUCCUGUGCUUCCGCAAUUACCAUGAAAAGAACAUGGCCUGGUGGUCCCUGAUCCCCAAAGAAUGACGGACACCUGGAAAAAGCUUGGAGUAACAGAUUCAUGAGCAAGAAU
rnacentral:lncRNA from 10 species